rnacentral:tRNA from 1 species
GGUGGCUCAGUGGUAGAGCACUUGCCUUGCAUGCAUGAGGUCCUGGGUUCGAAUCCCCAGCACCA